ACAAACUUGUUUCGUAUGACAAGCAAUGCUUGCCACACUCAUCAGAUUUUAAAUUCACCUGAUGAGUGUGGCAAACAUUGCUUGUCAUACGAAACAAGUUUGUAG